rnacentral:rRNA from 1 species
CGAACGCUGGCGGCGCGCCUAACACAUGCAAGUCGAACGAGCGAGAGAGAGCUUGCUUUCUCAAGCGAGUGGCGAACGGGUGAGUAACGCGUGAGGAACCUGCCUCAAAGAGGGGGACAACAGUUGGAAACGACUGCUAAUACCGCAUAAGCCCACGACCCGGCAUCGGGUAGAGGGAAAAGGAGCAAUCCGCUUUGAGAUGGCCUCGCGUCCGAUUAGCUAGUUGGUGAGGUAAUGGCCCACCAAGGCGACGAUCGGUAGCCGGACUGAGAGGUUGAACGGCCACAUUGGGACUGAGACACGGCCCAGACUCCUACGGGAGGCAGCAGUGGGGAAUAUUGCACAAUGGGGGAAACCCUGAUGCAGCGACGCCGCGUGGAGGAAGAAGGUCUUCGGAUUGUAAACUCCUGUUGUUGAGGAAGAUAAUGACGGUACUCAACAAGGAAGUGACGGCUAACUACGUGCCAGCAGCCGCGGUAAAACGUAGGUCACAAGCGUUGUCCGGAAUUACUGGGUGUAAAGGGAGCGCAGGCGGGAAGACAAGUUGGAAGUGAAAUCCAUGGGCUCAACCCAUGAACUGCUUUCAAAACUGUUUUUCUUGAGUAGUGCAGAGGUAGGCGGAAUUCCCGGUGUAGCGGUGGAAUGCGUAGAUAUCGGGAGGAACACCAGUGGCGAAGGCGGCCUACUGGGCACCAACUGACGCUGAGGCUCGAAAGUGUGGGUAGCAAACAGGAUUAGAUACCCUGGUAGUCCACACUGUAAACGAUGAUUACUAGGUGUUGGAGGAUUGACCCCUUCAGUGCCGCAGUUAACACAAUAAGUAAUCCACCUGGGGAGUACGACCGCAAGGUUGAAACUCAAAGGAAUUGACGGAAGGG